rnacentral:lncRNA from 1 species
AUGGAAAAAAGCCAGCAAAGGUCUACACUACAGAAAGUCGCGAACAGUGAAUUUGGAACCACAUACUUGCCUUUAAAUUGUCAAAGCCCAGCUCCCACCCUCGAAGUGAUGCAGAGUUGGGGGGAAACGCGGCCGCUUCCUGGAAGAUGGAGCUCGCUCAGAAAGCCGAAGAAUCCAUUUUUCAAGACAAGCAUCAUUGGGAGGAGAAUGCAGAACCCAUGUCUCCCCCUCCCCCAGCCUCCCUGGGGUAUCCCAGCACAGGCUGGAGCUCAGCCGGUGGGAGAAGUCAAGCCCAAGACAGGAGGUGAGCGGCCAGCAAGCUGUGCUGGGCUUCGUGUGGACGGAGACGCCUGCGAGGCCACGGGCCCAACACGGGGUCCAGGGUACCAGGGGCCCCAGACAGCCCGCGCCGUGGGGACCGGCGACAGAGAGCUCGGUCAGUGGAAUGGCUUCGCGGUGGCUCUGCCCAGGGUUGUUCUUGCUCACCUGCUGCACUUGUGCGGACCCUGCGGCCACUGCCCUCCCAGCUCUGCCCCCCGGGCCGUGCCUCAAAGGGGGCUCCAGGCACCUGGCUGCGAGGCCUGCACAGGACGCCCCUCUGGGCCGCCACUGAGGGGUGGUGCCGGGCGUCCCGGUGGCGGCUCCUCCCCUGGGAGUCUCCUUGGUGCUGCCGUGCAGGCCUGGUGGCUCGUCCCCUUGUCUUAUUUGGCUGUCCUCCCCGCUCGGCCCCCUCGCCUCCCCACACAGCCGAUCACCUGCGGGCCUGCUGGUGCCACGUCCCCGCCGUCCAGCUCCCCUCCACGGCCGCCACUACCAUCCGGGGACCGGCAGCCCCUGGACGGCCCGGGAGCCCCCCCCAGCCAGCUCCCGCCCUUCGCCACCAGCCGAGAUCGGUGUCCAGCUGUCCAUGAGGACGACACCGCCGACAGGAGAGAGGCGGACAGGCUCCGGAUCGAUGCACCGUCUCCCUCUCCGCCAGAAACAGGAUUUGGACUCCUCUCCACCGUCGCCAAGGCUCCCCGGGCUCCAGUCCGGGCCACGCUUCGUGCCACGUGA